AGUGAACGCUGGCGGCAGGCCUAACACAUGCAAGUCGAACGAACCUUUCGGGGUUAGUGGCGGACGGGUGAGUAACACGUGGGAACGUGCCUUUAGGUUCGGAAUAACUCAGGGAAACUUGUGCUAAUACCGAAUGUGCCCUUCGGGGGAAAGAUUAAUCGCCUUUAGAGCGGCCCGCGUCUGAUUAGCUAGUUGGUUGAGGUAAUGGCUCACCAAGGCGACGAUCAGUAGCUGGUCUGAGAGGAUGAUCAGCCACAUUGGGACUGAGACACGGCCCAAACUCCUACGGGAGGCAGCAGUGGGGAAUCUUGCGCAAUGGGCGAAAGCCUGACGCAGCCAUGCCGCGUGAAUGAUGAAGGUCUUAGGAUUGUAAAAUUCUUUCACCGGGGACGAUAAUGACGGUACCCGGAGAAGAAGCCCCGGCUAACUUCGUG
rnacentral:rRNA from 1 species